AUGGAUGACUCUCAGCCUUUUCAUGCUGCAAUAACCUCUACUGCAGCUUCCAUUGGCAAUGCAGCUCUUUCUAGCAGAGUUAGAUUAAGCAUUGCAGCUUCUGUUCUUUAUGGUGCUCAGAGCAAGGAAUUUGUUGCAUGGAGUAACAGUCAGGUGAUCCAGCCUGCACAACUUGAAGUUCAUGAAGACCAGGCUGUCUCCUUGGAAUGUAAACACUCCACAAAAAACUACCACAUAAUAGCUUGGUACAUAUAUGUCCCUAGACUUGCCCUGCAGAUCUGCGCUUAUGGGACCUUAACAGCUACUAGCAAGGAGGGGUUCAUAAUGACUAUAGAUAAAGAGAAGCUCACCACAAACCUUUAUAUCAACAAAACAAAGGUGGAAGACACAGCUGUGUAUUACUGUGCAGUGAGCGACACAGUGAUAUUAUCUCUUCUGUCCUUCUGCUCUCAACUUGGUAUU